GGCUCUGGGAAAGGUGACAGCACUCCUGACCCUGGUGACUCUGCCAGGUGAGCCAGGGCUGCUGGUGGCCCCGGUAAGCCAGCAGUCCCCAUUCCUGGGCUAUGCUGGCAGGCCAGAGCUGGCCCAGGGGAAGUUGCUAAAGGAUGUCUUCCGGCCUGGGGAUGUUUUCUUCAACACUGGGGACCUGCUGGUCUGCGAUGACCAAGGUUUUCUCCGCUUCCAUGAUCGUACUGGAGACACCUUCAGGUGGAAGGGGGAGAAUGUGGCCACAACCGAGGUGGCAGAGGUCUUCGAGGCCCUGGAUUUUCUUCAGGAGGUGAACAUCUAUGGAGUCACUGUGCCAGGGCAUGAAGGCAGGGCUGGAAUGGCAGCCCUAGUUCUGCGUCCCCCCCACUCUUUGGACCUUAUGCAGCUCUACACCCACGUGUCUGAGAACUUGCCACCUUAUGCCCGGCCCCGAUUCCUCAGGCUCCAGGUAACCAGCCACUUCCCCCGCUGGCCGCUCACCCCAUAUAUCCUCACCCCACAUAUCCACCCCAUGUAUCAACUUGGGAGUUUGAUGGCUCCCAAACUCCACAAAGGGACCCCCAACGUAAUACACUCCGUGAAGAGAAAAAACACGGAGAUGCGCGCUCU
rnacentral:sRNA from 1 species